rnacentral:rRNA from 1 species
GGGGAAACGGCAUUAAGUGCUUGCACUUUUUGGACGUCGACCGGCGCACGGGUGAGUAACGCGUAUCCAACCUUCCCAUGACUAAGGGAUAACCUGCCGAAAGGCAGACUAAUACCUUAUGGUCUUCACUGACGGCAUCAGACGUGAAGUAAAGAUUUAUCGAUUAUGGAUGGGGAUGCGUCUGAUUAGCUUGUUGGCGGGGUAACGGCCCACCAAGGCGACGAUCAGUAGGGGUUCUGAGAGGAAGGUCCCCCACAUUGGAACUGAGACACGGUCCAAACUCCUACGGGAGGCAGCAGUGAGGAAUAUUGGUCAAUGGGCGAGAGCCUGAACCAGCCAAGUAGCGUGCAGGAUGACGGCCCUAUGGGUUGUAAACUGCUUUUGUAUGGGGAUAAAGUCAAUCACGUGUGAUUGUUUGCAGGUACCAUACGAAUAAGGACCGGCUAAUUCCGUGCCAGCAGCCGCGGUAAUACGGAAGGUCCGGGCGUUAUCCGGAUUUAUUGGGUUUAAAGGGAGCGUAGGCUGGAGAUUAAGUGUGUUGUGAAAUGUAGACGCUCAACGUCUGACUUGCAGCGCAUACUGGUUUCCUUGAGUACGCACAACGUUGGCGGAAUUCGUCGUGUAGCGGUGUAAUGCUUAGAUAUGACGAAGAACUCCGAUUGCGAAGGCAGCUGACGGGAGCGCAACUGACGCUGAAGCUCGAAGGUGCGGGUAUCGAACAGGAUUAGAUACCCUGGUAGUCCGCACAGUAAACGAUGGAUGCCCGCUGUUGGUACCUGGUAUCAGCGGCUA